UACGGGGGGGAGCAAGCGUUGUUCGGAUUUACUGGGCGUAAAGGGCGCGUAGGCGGCCACCGCAAGUCGACUGUGAAAUCUCCGGGCUUAACCCGGAAAGGUCAGCCGAUACUGCGGGGCUAGAGUGCAGAAGGGGCAACUGGAAUUCUCGGUGUAGCGGUGAAAUGCGUAGAUAUCGAGAGGAACACCUGCGGCGAAGGCGGGUUGCUGGGCUGACACUGACGCUGAGGCGCGAAAGCCAGGGGAGCGAACGGG
rnacentral:rRNA from 1 species